rnacentral:rRNA from 1 species
UACGAAGGGUGCAAGCGUUAUUCGGAAUCAUUGGGCGUAAAGCGCGCGCAGGCGGUUCUGUAAGUCCUGGGUGAAAUCGCCCGGCUCAACUGGGCGGGGGCCUGGGGGACUGCGGGACUGGAGGGGCCUAGAGGCCGGUGGAACUCCCGGUGUAGUGGUGAAAUGCGUAGAGAUCGGGAAGAACACCAGUGGCGAAGGCGGCCGGCUGGGGGCGCCCUGACGCUGAGGCGCGAGAGCGUGGGGAGCGAACCGG